rnacentral:rRNA from 1 species
AGGAACGCGAAGAACCUUACCAGGUCUUGACAUCUUUUGAUCACCUGAGAGAUCAGGUUUCCCCUUCGGGGGCAAAAUGACAGGUGGUGCAUGGUUGUCGUCAGCUCGUGUCGUGAGAUGUUGGGUUAAGUCCCGCAACGAGCGUAACCCUUAUGACUAGUUGCCAGCAUUUAGUUGGGCACUCUAGUAAGACUGCCGGUGACAAACCGGAGGAAGGUGGGGAUGACGUCAAAUCAUCAUGCCCCUUAUGACCUGGGCUACACACGUGCUACAAUGGAUGGUACAACGAGUUGCGAGACCGCGAGGUCAAGCUAAUCUCUUAAAGCCAUUCUCAGUUCGGACUGUAGGCUGCAACUCGCCUACACGAAGUCUGAAUCGCUAGUAAUCGCGGAUCAGCACGCCGCGGUGAAUACGUUCCCGGGUCUUGUA